rnacentral:lncRNA from 1 species
AAAAUUAUAAAAACAAAAUACUUUCCAUUUCACAAAUCUUUCAUUAAUUAGACAAAUUACCCAAAAUUUCUGUAGAUUAAAGUGAAAAAUCUCUCUUUGUUUUGGCACAUUUUGUUCUUUCGCUCUCUCUGCGAAAAGCUCUAAAUAGAGGAAGGCUGUUCGCAGAGAGAGUUAAAGGAUUACAUAUUAAUUAUUAUUUUUAUUAACAAUGGCGAUAAUUGGUUCUAGUAAGGUUCUGUUUGGUUUCUUUGCUGCAUUUUCCCUAAUUUUCUCUAUCUUUUUACCUACUGUUCAGGGUCAAGAAUCUUUUGCUCCGACCCCUGCUCCGGCAAGUGACGGUUAGUUUUUUCUUUUAUAAAACUUUUAUUUAUUUCAUUUCUUUUUUCUUUCUAAAUAUUCCUUUUUGUUUCGUCUAGAGCUUUUGGCCCAUAUUAUCUUUUAUCUUUGAGGGUAUAUCUAUUUUGGUACAUUUGAGCAUAUUUAGUUCCUUAAAUAUGCUAAAAUACAGCACCUUUCUUCUCACUGAUAGAGUAUGUCCAAGAUCAAUUGCGGGGUUGGGUUCGACACUCACAUCUUUCUGAUUUACUUACCGAACUUUAUAAACCAACAUCCAUUAAUAGUACAU